rnacentral:rRNA from 1 species
UAGGGAAUAUUGGACAAUGGGUGAGAGCCUGAUCCAGCCAUGCCGCGUGCAGGAAGAAGGCGUUAUGCGUUGUAAACUGCUUUUUGCCAGGGGAUAAAAUGACCGUGCGCGGUUAAUUGAAGGUACCUGGUGAAUAAGCCACGGCUAACUACGUGCCAGCAGCCGCGGUAAUACGUAGGUGGCAAGCGUUGUCCGGAUUUAUUGGGUUUAAAGGGUGCGUAGGUGGCCCUGUAAGUCAGUGGUGAAAUAUCUCAGCUUAACUGAGAGGGUGCCAUUGAUACUGCAGGGCUUGAGUACAGAUGAGGUAGGCGGAAUUGACGGUGUAGCGGUGAAAUGCAUAGAUAUCGUCAAGAACACCGAUAGCGAAGGCAGCUUACCAAGCUGUAACUGACACUGAGGCACGAAAGUGUGGGGAUCAAACAGGAUUAGAUACCCGCGUAGUCCCUGAGCGGGCUGGCAAGGCGCAU